rnacentral:rRNA from 1 species
UACGUAGGGACCGAGCGUUGUCCGGAUUCAUUGGGCGUAAAGAGCUCGUAGGCGGCUAGUCACGUCGGAUGUGAAAACCCGAGGCUCAACCUCGGGCCUGCAUUCGAUACGGGCUGGCUAGAGUACUGCAGGGGAGACUGGAAUUCCUGGUGUAGCGGUGGAAUGCGCAGAUAUCAGGAGGAACACCGGUGGCGAAGGCGGGUCUCUGGGCAGUAACUGACGUGGAGGAGCGAAAAGCGUGGGGAGCGAACGG